UACGGAGGAUUCAAGCGUUAUCCGGAUUUAUUGGGUUUAAAGGGUGCGUAGGCGGUCGGAUAAGUUAGAGGUGAAAUCCCGAGGCUCAACUUCGGAAUUGCCUCUGAUACUGUUCGGCUAGAGAGUAGUUGCGGUAGGCGGAAUGUAUGGUGUAGCGGUGAAAUGCUUAGAUAUAAGGAAGAGCACCAGUGGCGAAGGCGGAUUACUGGACGAUAACUGACGGUGAGGCGCGAAAGCGUGGGGAGCAAAAAGG
rnacentral:rRNA from 1 species